rnacentral:rRNA from 1 species
AUGGCUAGGCAGCCGCUCAGGUUCUACCCGCGACUGCUCCGAGCCGACUCCCCCGCCGCGGAGGACCCGGGCGUUCCCAUGGACAUGCGGCAUGGGCUGGAUCCGGACACGCUGGACCCCUACAAAAACAUGGUGCUCAACUUCUUCUAUUCCUACCUCCUGGAGUCGCCCGUCUCCACCGCCGCCUCCCUCUCCUGCACCACCGCGGAGGACGGCGACGGCGUCGACCGCGUCAGCCUUCUCCCCGACGAUCUCCUCCGCCGCGUCGUCUCCCGCCUCCCCGCCAAGGACGGCGCGCGCACCGCCGUGCUCUCCUCGCGCUGGCACCACCUUUGGCGCUCCACCCCGCUCGUCCUCGUCGACACCCACCUCCUUCCCGCGGCAUGCGCCGGGGCCCGGCCCGGCCGCGCCGGGGCCGUCUCUCGCGCCGUCACCGGCGCCGUCUCCGCAGCCCUCGAGGCGCACCAAGGGAACUUCACCUUCGUCAGCCUCACCUGCAGCUUCCUGGAACGCGCCGACCGCGGCGUGCUCGCGCGCUGGGUUCAGCUCCUCGCCACCAAAGGCGUCAGCGAGCUCGUCCUCGUCAACCGCCCGUGGCCCCUCCCCCGUGGCGUCUGCCUCCCAGUCGCGCUCUUCAGCUGCGCCUCUCUCACCCGUCUCUACCUCGGCGCCUGGCUGUUUCCGGACACCGCCACCCUCCCGCGCGGCGCUGCUUUCCCCAAUCUGCGUGAGCUCGUCCUCGGCUGCGUCAUGAUGACGGACAAGGAUCUCGACUUCGUGCUCGCCGCCAGCCCCGUGCUAGAGAUCCUCGCGGUCGUUGGAAGCCAGACCCAACUGCACGCUCGUCUUGCCAGUCAGAGCCUACGGUGCGCGCAAUUCUGCUUGUCCACUGUGGAGGAGGUCGCUGUGGUGGACGCCCCAUGCCUUGAGCGUCUCUUCAUCUGGUGCUGCUCAAGCCACGGCCUCGGCACGGCCAGGAGCAAAACAAGCAUUAGAGUCAAGAUUGGUCGUGCUCCACAGCUGCGUUUGCUGGGAUACUUACGGCCAGGAUGGCAUGUGCUGGAGGUUGGCAACACCACCAUCAAGGCUAGUACACAGGUGAGCCCAAGGACGAUUGUCCCCAGUGUCCAGAUGUUAGCAUUGAGCCUACAUUUUGGAAUCCGCAAUGAAGUCAAGAUGCUGCCUAGCUUCCUCAGGUGCUUUCCGAACGUCGAGGUUCUUCUUAUUCAGUCCGAGGAAACUCAUGAACCCACUGGUAACCUCCGCCUCAAGUUCUGGCAGGAGAAUGGUAUGAUUGAGUGCGUCCGAUCGCGCCUCAAAAGAAUCGUUUUCCGUGAGUACCAUGGGCAUGAGAAUGAGUUUGCCUUUCUCAUGUUCAUUGCUGAGAAUGCAGAGGUGCUGGAGCGGAUGGUGGUUGAGUUGAAGUUUGGAAGAUAUGCUGCGCCUGAAGAGAUUGCUAUCAAGAUGAAAGCUCUGCAAGGUGCCAAAUGGGCCAGUGGAGGCGAUAAAUUGCAACUCACCUUCAGCAAAUUUCCUAGUGCUUGGAGCCUCUCGAAAGGAUCUGACUUCUCAUUUGAUGACCCUUUUCUCUGCCUCUGCUAUAUGCCAACCUAUUUCGAAAUGCGAGAUAGCUCUGGCCAGUUCAAGCCUCUGGGUUAUCUUUAG